AUUUCCGGUGUCCUCGCUCACUGAGCUUCUCGCGACUCGAUGACGUCACUGUUAGUUUUCGGUAUAAACGGGUCCGGUGUCCUCCGGUAAUGAGCCGCUCUCAGGCCUCUGGGACGGAGCUAACGGCAGAUACCGGACCGUAACCGGGAGAGCAGCUCCUGUCAGUGAACGUUACCGGUAUGCUGAGGUAACGGGGUUAGGGUUGGGACCUGUUGCCGGUUACCGGAGACACAGAGACGAUGAGCGGAGCUACCGGACUGUUGGUGCUGCUGCUGCUCAGCCACCGGGCUGCGUUCACGGCCAGCAGGUCCCUGAACGCACCGCAGGAUGGACCGACAGGUGUGGACAGGCAGCGUCGCCCCCUGCUGGAGACGACUCGUCCCUUCAUCUUGGUGGACGGACAGAGGAGGAGCCUGACUGAAGCCCUGCAGGAUGGACACCCGGACCGGCUGCAGUGUGGUCUGGAGGUGGGAGGACGUCUGUUCCUGUUGGACCUGGAGAAGAACCACGACCUGCUGCCCAAACCGCCCAACGUCUUCUACUAUCUGCCCAACGGCACCGGAGUGUCUGUGACGGCCCACCCUGUGACUCACUGUUAUUACCACGGCAGCGUUCGAGGGUUCCCUCAGUCCAGAGUGGCAGUCAGCACCUGCUCCGGACUCCGCGGAGUCAUCACUAUCAACUCCACGCUGAGCUUCGAGCUGCAGCCGCAGGAGGAUGAGCCGCCCCCCCACCAGGAGGAGGAGGAGGAGGGCGAGGGGGGGGCAGGAAGUGGAGGGAGCGGAGGAGGAGGAGGAGGAGGAGGAAGAAUCCACCUGCUGUACUCCAGCAGCUCCCUGGAGAGUAACGGAGGGGGGGACUGUGGGGUCUCUCACAGCAGCAUCCCCCCCCUCCACAGCUCCACACACACACACAGGAGGAGGCGGGACAUCCUGUCUGAGAGGAAGUACAUUGAGCUGGUUCUGGUGGUCGAUCAUCAGGAGUUUCUGAACUACCAGAAGAACAACAGGAACAAUGAGACCAUCAUCUACCGCAUGCUGGAUGUGGCCAAUCAGGUGGACUGGUUCUACCGGCCGCUGAACGUGCGCGUGGCGCUGACCGGUUUGGAGAUCUGGAGCGACCGCGAUAAGAUCCUGGUGGAGAAGAGUCCGACCGAGACCCUCAACAACUUCCUGCGCUGGAGGAGCCGCGAGCUGCUGCCCCGCCUUCGCCAUGACAACGCCCAGCUCGUCAUGGGGGGGGCGUUCGAUGGCACCACGGUGGGCAUGGCCUCACAGUCCUCCAUGUGCUCCAGAGACCGCUCAGGGGGGGUCAACGUGGAUCACCUGGUCAGCGUUCUGGGCGUGGCUUCCACCGUCGCUCACGAGCUCGGUCACAACCUCGGGAUGACCCACGACACCGCCGAGCGCCGCUGCUCCUGCCAGAACCACCCGCGGCUCGGAGGCUGCAUCAUGGAGCCCUCAACCGGGUUGUUGCCGGGGCAACAGUUCAGCAGCUGCAGUCAGGACGACCUGUCUGUCAGCCUGCUGAUGGGGGGGGGCAUGUGUCUGUUCAACGUGCCCCAACCGGACCAGCUGCUGGGGGGGCCGCGCUGCGGGAACCUGUACGUGGAGAAAGGAGAGCAGUGUGACUGUGGACUGCUGCAGGACUGUGAUGACCCGUGCUGUAACGCCUCCACCUGUCAACUGGUUCCUGGAGCUCAGUGUUCAUCUGACGGCAUCUGUUGCCAUGACUGCAAGCUGCGGACCGCGGGCUCUAUGUGUCGUGAGCCAAUCGGAGAGUGCGACCUCCCUGAGUUCUGCACCGGCUCCUCCCCCCACUGCCCCCCCAACGUGUUCCUGCAGAACGGCGAGCCCUGCGAGCACAGCGCCUCCUACUGCUACAGCGGCGUCUGCGCCAGCAUGCGCACACAGUGCCAGAUGCUGUGGGGGCCCAAUGCUACGAGCGCUCCGGCUGUUUGUUUUUCAUCUGUCAACAAAAAAGGAAACAAAUAUGGAAACUGUGGUCAGCUGACCAACGGCUCCUACAUCCCCUGUGCAAGCUCGGAUGUGUACUGUGGGAGGAUCCAGUGCCAGGGCGGCAGAGAGCGCCCCCUGCUGGGCACCAACGCAGAGAUCCUGACGACCACGGUCCGCUUUAACCUCAGCGACCUCGUCUGCAGAGGAAGCUUCUUCCACCUCGGAGACGACGUGUCCGACCCGGCUACUGUAGCCCAGGGUACCGCCUGCAGCCCGGGCAGGGCCUGUUUGAACCAGAAGUGUGAGGACGUCUCGGUGUUCGGUGUGGACGAAUGUCGCAGGAAAUGCAACGGACACGGAGUGUGUAACAGUAACAAACAGUGCCACUGUGAGGUGGGCUGGGCUCCUCCUGACUGCAGGUAUUCAGGUCUCGGCGGCAGCGUGGACAGCGGCCCGGCCCGAGCUGCUGGGGAGUCGGAUCCGGUCCGAGUCGCCCUGCUGGUGAUUUUCCUCUUCAUCCUUCCUGUGGUCCUCCUCUUCCUCGUCCUUCGGUUCCCUCGGUUCCGUGUCUGCGUCGGCGCUGCCGGGCCGAUCGGAAAAACACGACAAAACAACCGCAGGACCCUGGCGAUGGAGGAGCAGGUGCGCCCGCUCAGUAUCAGCUGACCCAGCCCGACAUCCCGCUGACCCCCCCCAACAAACAGCUUCUGGUGAUUCGACCAGCUCCGCCCACCAAGCCACUCCCCCCUGACCCUGCCUCACAUGCACAGGGUCCGGCGGUGCCCAGAAAGCCUCGCCCCCCGCCCUGCCGACCCACCCCCAUGUCCCGGCCCCACCGCCCCACCCCCACUUCCCCCCUCAGCCCCCCUACACCAGCAACACCAAACCACCGCAGCACGCCGCCGUCGCACCUGCCGCCAAAACCAACAGACGACCUCCUCGACCUGCCAUCCCUUAAAGAGCCGG